UACGUAGGGGGGCUAGCGUUGUCCGGAAUCAUUGGGCGUAAAGCGCGCGUAGGCGGCCCGGUAAGUCCGCUGUGAAAGUCCAGGGCUCAACCCUGGAAAGCCGGUGGAUACUGCCGGGCUAGAGUCCGGAAGAGGCGAGUGGAAUUCCUGGUGUAGCGGUGGAAUGCGCAGAUAUCAGGAAGAACACCAAUGGCGAAGGCAGCUCUCUGGGACGGUACUGACGCUGAGACGCGAAAGCGUGGGGAGCGAACAGG
rnacentral:rRNA from 1 species